rnacentral:rRNA from 1 species
GACGAACGCUGGCGGCGUGCUUAACACAUGCAAGUCGAACGGAAAGGCCCUGCUUGCAGGGUACUCGAGUGGCGAACGGGUGAGUAACACGUGGGUGAUCUGCCCUGCACUUCGGGAUAAGCCUGGGAAACUGGGUCUAAUACCGGAUAGGAGCCAGUUUUAGUGUGAUGGUUGGAAAGUUUUUUCGGUGUAGGAUGAGCUCGCGGCCUAUCAGCUUGUUGGUGGGGUAAUGGCCUACCAAGGCGGCGACGGGUAGCCGGCCUGAGAGGGUGGACGGCCACAUUGGGACUGAGAUACGGCCCAGACGCCUACGGGAGGCAGCAGUGGGGAAUAUUGCACAAUGGGCGCAAGCCUGAUGCAGCGACGCCGCGUGGGGGAUGACGGCCUUCGGGUUGUAAACUCCUUUCGCUAGGGACGAAGCUUUUUGUGACGGUACCUAGAUAAGAAGCACCGGCUAACUACGUG